CACGCAGUAAACUAUGAUUACUCGCUGUUUGCGAUACACAGUAAGCGGCUUAGCGAAAGCGUUAAGUAAUCCACCUGGGGAGUACGUUCGCAAGAAUGAAACUCAAAGGAAUUGACGGGGGCCCGCACAAGCGGAGGAACAUGUGGUUUAAUUCGAUGAUACGCGAGGAACCUUACCCGGGCUUGAAAUGCAUUUGACCGACUCAGAGAUGGGUCUUCCCUUCGGGGCAAAUGUGUAGGUGC
rnacentral:rRNA from 1 species